rnacentral:rRNA from 1 species
UGGGGAAUAUUGCACAAUGGGCGCAAGCCUGAUGCAGCCAUGCCGCGUGUGUGAAGAAGGCCUUCGGGUUGUAAAGCACUUUCAGCGAGGAGGAAGGGCAGUGUGUUAAUAGCACAUUGCAUUGACGUUACUCGCAGAAGAAGCACCGGCUAACUCCGUGCCAGCAGCCGCGGUAAUACGGAGGGUGCAAGCGUUAAUCGGAAUUACUGGGCGUAAAGCGCACGCAGGCGGUUUGUUAAGUCAGAUGUGAAAUCCCCGCGCUUAACGUGGGAACUGCAUUUGAAACUGGCAAGCUAGAGUCUUGUAGAGGGGGGUAGAAUUCCAGGUGUAGCGGUGAAAUGCGUAGAGAUCUGGAGGAAUACCGGUGGCGAAGGCGGCCCCCC